ACAAUGAAAUGAUGCCAUGUGACUCGGAUUUGAACUGGGAUGUGGGGGCUCUUCCCCCCCAACAGCACUGGUACUGGAUGCCCACAGAACCUUCUUUCUCCUGAAGUGUCAGCCCUGAAGAGUGGAUCAAUUUUGUAGGAAAGUGGACCCAAGAAAGAGGAUCUUUACAAGGAGUCUUAAAGAAGACAGUCUGCUGGAGACCGCUUAAACAGUACUCCAACCAGAACACUUCAUCAGGCUACACAAGAACAACCAGCGAGGAUAAAAGGGCUGUACUGUUUGCUGACACAAUCAAUAUGCUGCUAGUUUCUUCACUUUUUUACUUUAUAUUGCACUUUGGAAAGACAAAAAGAAUGUUCUUCUAUAUUCUACUGCUGCAUAACCAAGGUAACGUUUCCAGUACAACAUUGAACAACAGUGGUGAU